AUGAACGUUGGCGGCGUGUCUAAGGCAUGCAAGUCGAAUGCCGAUUUAUCGGCAUGGCAAACGGGUGCGUAACACAUUGGUAAUCUACCCUCUUCAGGAGGAUAACUCCGGGAAACCGGAGAUAAUACUCCGUACGUUCCGAUAUCUUAUGGUGUUGGAAGAAAGCUUUUACGGUGGAGGAAGAGCCUAUGGCCCAUCAGCUAGUUGGUAAGGUAAUGGCCUACCAAGGCUACGACGGGUAGCGGGUGUGAGAGCAUGGCCCGCCUCAAUGGGACUGAGACACUGCCCAUACUCCUACGGGAGGCUGCAGUUAAGAAUCUUCCGCAAUGGUCGAAAGACUGACGGAGCGACGCCGCGUGCAGGAUGAAACUUUUCGGAGUGUAAACUGCUUUUAUAAGGGAUGAAUUUUUGACGGUACCUUAUGAAUAAGGGGCUGCUAAACUCGU
rnacentral:rRNA from 1 species